AGUGAACGCUGGCGGUAGGCCUAACACAUGCAAGUCGAACGGCAGCACAGGAGAGCUUGCUCUCUGGGUGGCGAGUGGCGGACGGGUGAGGAAUACAUCGGAAUCUACUCUGUCGUGGGGGAUAACGUAGGGAAACUCACGCUAAUACCGCAUACGACCUACGGGUGAAAGCAGGGGACCUUCGGGCCUUGCGCGAUUGAAUGAGCCGAUGUCGGAUUAGCUAGUUGGCGGGGUAAAGGCCAACCAAGGCGACGAUCCGUAGCUGGUCGGAGGGGAGGAGCAGCUAGACUGGAACAGAGACACGGUCCAGACUCCGACGGGAGGCAGCAGUGGGGAAUAGAGGGCAAUGGGGGCAAGCCUGAUCCAGCCAUACCGCGUGGGUGAAGAAGGCCUUCGGGUUGUAAAGCCCUUUUGUUGGGAAAGAAGUCCAGCUGGCUAAUACCCGGUGGGGAUGACGGUACCCAAAGAAGAAGCACCGGCUAAGUUCGUGCCAGCCGCCGCAGUAA
rnacentral:rRNA from 1 species